CCUACGGGAGGCAGCAGUGGGGAAUAUUGCGCAAUGGGCGAAAGCCUGACGCAGCGACGCCGCGUGAGGGAUGAAGGUCUUCGGAUCGUAAACCUCUGUCAGCAGGGAAGAACGGUCACUGUGCUAAUCAGCAGUGAAUUGACGGUACCUGCAAAGGAAGCACCGGCUAACUCCGUGCCAGCAGCCGCGGUAAUACGGAGGGUGCGAGCGUUAAGCGGAAUUACUGGGCGGAAAGCGCUCGUAGGCGGUAUGUUAAGUCAAGGGGGAAAUCCCCGCGCUCAACGUGGGAACUGCCUUUGAAACUGGCAAACUGGAGUGUGUGAGAGGAUAGUGGAAUUCCAGGUGUAGGAGUGAAAUCCGUAGAUAUCUGGAGGAACAUCAGUGGCGAAGGCGACUAUCUGGCACAUAACUGACGCUGAGGAGCGAAAGCGUGGGUAGCAAACAGGAUUAGAUACCCGGGUAGUC
rnacentral:rRNA from 1 species